GAGGUGAAUGAUUGUGAGCCAAAAUAUCUCUUCAAAGCUUCAUUCUUCUCUUCCUUUUCCUGCAUCAAGCUAGACCAUUCUCUUGGAAGCUCUGACAACUGAAAGCAACCUUCUCCGGCAACUCUUCGGCUAGUGUAGAUGUAGGCGCCUUGCCUUAGAAUCUUAGUGCGUGGGACGUGGUGAACCCGUCAGUGUAGCUCGGAGCCAGGAGAAUAUCAAACUUAGGGUCAGUGGGUUAUUCUGGGGCUUCUUCUGUAGUUGUGACUUGUCAGUACCUGUUCUUUAAGGUUGUGAACCUUGUAUGCUAUUUUAUUCUGUAUGAGUGAGACUUGUAUCAUGUUUGUGUAUUUUGGCAUGUAAGCUACUUGUGUACUCUGUAGAACUGUCAUAGUCCGUAUCUGUAUUAUCCAUGUUUCUGCGACUCUAUCUGUAGUCGAUAUUAUUGUUUC